rnacentral:tRNA from 1 species
GGAUUGUGGCUCAGUGGUAGAGCACAGGUCUAGCACAUGUGAGGUCCUGGGUUCGAUAUUCAGCACCA